CACGGCGGCACGGGUUCACAACAAACCGGCGCCCGGUGCUUCAUCGUCGCCGGCUCCACCCGUCCUCUCUCAGAGUCGGAACCCCCAAAAGGCCAAAACCCUAAACCCAUGGCGGCGCUCACCCCCUCCGCCGGCGCCCGCCUCCUCCGCCGCCUCCUCUCCACCGCCGCCGAGGUGGCACGGGAGGCGCCGGCCCCCGCCGCGAAGAACACGAAGAAGGCGGCGGCACGCCCCGUCAGGAAGCGGGCGGCGCGCGCCGUCGCCCCCCAGGACGCGAAGGAGGCGGCAGAGGCGGCGCCGGAUGCGGAGGGCGCGAAGAAGGCGGCAGAGGCGGCGCCGGAUGCGGAGGGCGCGAAGAAGGCGGCGGCGGCGGGGACCAAGGACUCGCGCCCGCUGUACCGGCGACUGUCGGCGCUGGGGAACGCCGGGGAGGGGAGCGUCUCCGCGGUGAUGAACAAGUGGCUGCGGGAGGGCCGGGAGACGCGCUCCGUGGAUCUCGAGCGCUACGUCAAGGAGCUCCGCAAGUACAAGCGCCAUUCCCAGGCCCUCGAGUUGAUGGAUUGGAUGGUUCAUACAAAGGGUAUGAACAUGUCGUACACUAACCAUGCAAUACGUUUGGAUCUCAUCUACAAAGUGCGUGGCAUCGAGGCAGCUGAAAAAUAUUUCGAUGGCCUUCCUGAUCCAGCCAAGAACCAUCGAACCUAUGGUGCACUUCUGAACUGUUAUUGCUCAUCGAAGAAGGAAGAGAAAGCAACAGACCUUUACCGCAAGAUGGAUGAGCUUGGAAUCUCAUCCAGCACUCUGCCCAUCAACAAUCUCAUGUCCCUAUACAUGAAGUUAGGCCAGCAUAAGAAGGUUUGUAGCCUGUUUGAGGAGAUGAAGGAGAAGAAUGUUAAACCGGAUAACCUGACGUGCUGCAUUCUGAUGACCAGCUGUGCGGCAUUGAACAAGAUAGAUGACGUUGAACAAGUUCUAAAAGAAAUGGAAGAAAAGGGUGGGGUUCUAGGGUGGUCUGCAUACAGCACACUGGCUUCCAUCUACCAGAGCGCUGGUUUGGUUGAAAAAGCAGAGUCUGCUCUGAAGAAACUUGAGGGCCUUGUUCAAGAUCGUGAUGGCAGACAGCCUUUUGACUUUCUCAUGAGUCUGUAUGCUUCCGUAGGCAAUCUGAGCGAGGUCAAGAGGGUGUGGGGCGUGGUUAAGGACACUUUCCCAAAAGUGACUAACACGAGCUACUUCAGCAUGCUGCAGGCUCUUCUUAAGCUCAAUGACGCCGAUUACAUGAAGCAGGUCUUUGAGGAAUGGGAGUCUAAUCAUGAGUGCUACGACGUGAAGCUGACUAAUGUGAUGACUCGAGCCCACCUGAAGAAUGGCAUGGCCAAGGAAGCAGAACAGUUGUGGGAGAAGGCCAAGGAAAUGGGUGCAUGUUUUGACUCUAAAACAUGCGAGUUGUUUCUCGAUCACUACAUGGGGACAGGGGACAUGAAAUCAGCGCUGAACUGGGUGGAGAAUGUGACGAAGCUCCCCAAGAAAGCAGGGAAGCUGGAUCCUGAUAAGAUCCCGAAGUUCUCCAAGUACUUUGAAGAGCAGAAGGAUGUGCAAGGCGCUGAGAGGUUCUGCAACUGCCUGAGGGCGCUCGGGUGCAUGGACGGCAAAGCAUACGAGUCCCUCCUGCGGACCUAUCUGGCGGCCGGCGAGACGAGCCGCUCCCUCCGGCAGCAGAUCAAAGACGACAAAAUUGAGAUCUGCUACGACAUUGGGAAGCUGCUGAAGAGGUUGGGCGAGGGACGAUGAAAUGGUGAGAAGUGUUGCCGGCCCUUGUUCUGGCUCAUCGGCGUUUGGUGCUUUUGCAAGAAGAAGCAGAACUAGGCCGGAGCAAAGAUUUUUUACUCUAGCACAACUUGUAAUCUGAGGAGGGUUUUCUCCUACAUUUUUUUCUUUUUUGCCUUUUCGCCUUUCUUCUGUAUGUAUUGGCUGUUUCAGACAUCGAGUACUGGAGCAAGGAUGCUACUACUACAGGAUCGUUUCUUAUUCUGUUUCUGCGUGCAGUCAGUUUCCAUGCUCGUGCCAGACUUUGUGAGCAGCAGAUGAAAACUGCAAACAACAACCAGAUAACAAGACUGUAC
rnacentral:rRNA from 1 species